UACGAAGGGGGCUAGCGUUGCUCGGAAUCACUGGGCGUACAGGGUGUGUAGGCGGUUUGGUAAGCCUUCUGUUAAAGCUUCGGGCCCAACCCGGAAAGCGCAGAGGGUACUGCCAGGCUAGAGGACGGGAGAGGAGCGCGGAAUUCCCGGUGUAGCGGUGAAAUGCGUAGAGAUCGGGAGGAAGGCCGGUGGCGAAGGCGGCGCUCUGGAACGUUACUGACGCUGAGACACGAAAGCGUGGGGAGCAAACAGG
rnacentral:rRNA from 1 species